GAUGAACGCUGGCGGCGUGCCUAAUACAUGCAAGUCGAGCGAACAGAUGAGGAGCUUGCUCCUCUGACGUUAGCGGCGGACGGGUGAGUAACACGUGGAUAACCUACCUAUAAGACUGGGAUAACUUCGGGAAACCGGAGCUGAUACCGGAUAAUAUAUUGAACCGCAUGGUUCAAUAGUGAAAGACGGUUUUGCUGUCACUUAUAGAUGGAUCCGCGCCGCAUUAGCUAGUUGGUAAGGUAACGGCUUACCAAGGCAACGAUGCGUAGCCGACCUGAGAGGGUGAUCGGCCACACUGGAACUGAGACACGGUCCAGACUCCUACGGGAGGCAGCAGUAGGGAAUCUUCCGCAAUGGGCGAAAGCCUGACGGAGCAACGCCGCGUGAGUGAUGAAGGUCUUCGGAUCGUAAAACUCUGUUAUUAGGGAAGAACAAAUGCGUAAGUAACUAUGCACGUCUUGACGGUACCUAAUCAGAAAGCCACGGCUAACUACGU
rnacentral:rRNA from 1 species